rnacentral:rRNA from 1 species
UACGUAGGGUGCGAGCGUUAAUCGGAAUUACUGGGCGUAAAGCGUGCGCAGGCGGUUGUGCAAGACAGAUGUGAAAUCCCCGGGCUUAACCUGGGAACUGCAUUUGUGACUGCACGGCUAGAGUGCGGCAGAGGGGAGUGGAAUUCCGCGUGUAGCAGUGAAAUGCGUAGAUAUGCGGAGGAACACCGAUGGCGAAGGCAGCUCCCUGGGCCUGCACUGACGCUCAUGCACGAAAGCGUGGGGAGCAAACAGGAUUAGAUACCCUGGUAGUCCACGCCCUAAACGAUGUCAACUGGUUGUUGGUCCUUCACUGGAUCAGUAACGUAGCUAACGCGUGAAGUUGACCGCCUGGGGAGUACGGCCGCAAGGUUG